UUUGAGACCGGCGCACGGGUGCGUAACGCGUAUGCAAUCUACCCUUUCCAGAGGGAUAGCCCAGAGAAAUUUGGAUUAAUACCUCAUAGUAUAGCAGUUUCGCAUGAAACCACUAUUAAAGUCACAACGGUGAAAGAUGAGCAUGCGUCCCAUUAGCUAGUUGGUAAGGUAACGGCUUACCAAGGCAACGAUGGGUAGGGGUCCUGAGAGGGAGAUCCCCCACACUGGUACUGAGACACGGACCAGACUCCUACGGGAGGCAGCAGUGAGGAAUAUUGGACAAUGGGCGCAAGCCUGAUCCAGCCAUGCCGCGUGCAGGAUGACGGUCCUAUGGAUUGUAAACUGCUUUUGUACAGGAAGAAACACCUCUACGUGUAGAGACUUGACGGUACUGUAAGAAUAAGGAUCGGCUAACUCCGUGCCAGCAGCCGCGGUAAUACGGAGGAUCCAAGCGUUAUCCGGAAUCAUUGGGUUUAAAGGGUCCGUAGGCGGUUUAGUAAGUCAGUGGUGAAAGCCCAUCGCUCAACGGUGGAACGGCCAUUGAUACUGCUAGACUUGAAUUAUUAGGAAGUAACUAGAAUAUGUAGUGUAGCGGUGAAAUGCUUAGAGAUUACAUGGAAUACCAAUUGCGAAGGCAGGUUACUACUAAUUGAUUGACGCUGAUGGACGAAAGCGUGGGUAGCGAACAGGAUUAGAUACCCUGGUAGUCCACGCCGUAAACGAUGGAUACUAGCUGUUGGGCGCAAGUUCAGUGGCUAAGCGAAAGUGAUAAGUAUCCCACCUGGGGAGUGCGUU
rnacentral:rRNA from 1 species